rnacentral:misc_RNA from 1 species
GUGUGCAGACAAAAGAGCGGAAAUGUUCUCGCCCUUUCUGGAUUGUUUGGCUAUUUCACUAUGGACCGUGGACGCCUCGAACUUUACCACUGGGGAUCCUCGAGCCUGCUAUGAUGGGAAAGGAGAAAAGCCUGUUGAAAAGCCUUUUAUGUUUGAAGUUCUGCCCGGAUUUGGUUGGGAUAACCUUGUCAACGAAAACCGGGGCGUUGUCGUGAAUUUCAAUUAUUCAAAAUGCAAGACAACAGAGGACAGGCGGUAUCUUCUUCCCGACGGGGUCGUCACCAUUCCCGUCAAAACGAGUCAAAUGAACGUUUUUUCCAAGCUCUAUGACCACUGGUCUCAGUAUGAAUCGGAUACGGCGUUUUCUGUCAACAACGGAGCUUCGGCGACGAUCAAAGGUGUGAAAAUUGCUGCAAGUUUCUCCGCCGAAUAUGAACACAUCAAAAAGCACCAGUUGGAAGAUAAACCGUUUACUACCAAAGUUCAGGCGAGGUUUGUCCGAUACACAGCGAAAGUUCUUCCAGACGUACAGCUUGACCAGUCUUUCCGCAAUCGUCUUCUGAGAAUCGCUGGACAAAUUCAACAAAACCGGAAGCUGUCCACUAAGUACGAGAGCGAACUGCUGGUGCGUGAUUUCGGUACAAACGUUCUAACCAGUGUCGACGCCGGGGCUUCCAUUGUCAAAGUGGAUCAAGUCGACUCUUCAUUACUUGAAGAUACCACAACAAACAAGGUCAAAAUAGGUUAUUCAGCCAUGUUUCCCUUCCCGGACUAGCAAGCGCAAGCAUGAAAGAUGAAUUCUCAUACACAAAAACGGAACUUGAGAAGUACAUGAGGAACGUCAAGAAUUCGGAUAUCAGAACCUAUGGUGGCCCCCCUAUGAGCCCGGAAAAUUUCACGCUUAGCAAAUGGACAACCACUAUCGGGAAUGAUUUGGUUGCUGUUGACAGAAAUGGGUUUCCUCUUGACUACGUUAUCUCCACGACAACACUCCCUGAGCUAUCUGAGAGUCUGGUAGAAGAGGUGGUUCAGAGUGUUCGAACUGCAAUCUCGUCCUAUUUCCAACAUAACACGUAUCCAGGAUGUACGAACCCUGAUGCACCAAACUUCAGCAAAAUAUCAAAUCUGGACGAUGGCUCCUGCCACGAACCAUUCACUAAUCUAAGCUUUGGUGGGGUUUACCAGGAGUGUCGCUUCCAAGGUAAACUCAUUAACAAUGAAAACUUAUGUACCAAACUCGCUACAAAGAACCCGCAGACACAGACAUUCGCUUGUCCAGACGGAUUUGAAAAAGUUCUCCUUCAUGAAGGAAUAACGCACAAAGCUCAGCACCAGCACCAGUGCCACAAAUGCUGGGUAUUCUUCAAAUGUUGUCACGAUCAAUCUUACUAUGCUUCAGCAGCAUACACAUCGUACUGGUGUCGAGCAAAGCCAAACUCUGUAGUACACGAAGAUAGUGGAUUUAUGUUUGGUGGUCUGUAUUCAGACAGAACCAAUAACUUUGUCACUCAAACAAAAUCAUGUCCGCAGUAUUUCCUUCCAAUGGUGAUAACAUCCAACGUUAGGGUUUGCAUCAGUGAUGACUACGAACUUGGCGCAAAGUUUGCCGUGCCUUUUGGCGGGUUCUACAGUUGCCAAAAUGGAAACCCCUUGGCUGAUGCAAAAGUAAAUAAAUCAUGUCCAAAAGGGUUUAGCAACCAUCUGGCAACCAUCGACAAAGAUUGCGAGGUUCAGUACUGCGUGAGAACUGGUCAACUUUCGGAACUGAAAUUCCCAUCCGUUCAAAUUCCGCCAUUUUCCGACGUCCCGGCAGAAAGUAUCGAGGAACCGGCCAAUUACAUUAUUUCGCACAAUUCUGAAGCUUGGGUUCAACUCGUUGACCCUAAAAUGAAAGGCCAAACACCAGACGAAUCGUCCUGGACAACAUUAGAUUCUGCACCAAAAGAAAUGAAAAACUUAAUGAAGAAGUUCACUCAAAACCACGUGGUUAAAGAAAACGAUGAGUCGGGAAUGUCAAAGGGCGCCAUUGCGGGUUUGUCCGUUGGUUUAACGACUGCCGUCUGCGUAAUCGUCGGUAUUGCUAUUGCCGUGCGACGAAAUCAAAAGCGAAAGAGAGGGUACAAUAGUGUUGAAUAAACCUGAAUACUUGUUUUAAGAUGUUUUUGUCCUUGGUGGAUCGUGAUUUUUUGUUAAUUUUAAGAUGGGUUGAUGGUUGUUUUUAGACUAUAUUAAUAUCCCUAAGAAGACGAGCUAUGUAUAAAGAUAUAGAAAAAUAUUUGAAUUUUUAAAUUACAUCUGAUUAUGGGUAAGUUUUGACCAUCAAGCCAUCUUAAUGUAUCUUCUUUUUUAGUUCUUGUAAUUUUUUUCUGUUUUGUAAUGCAAUUGUUGUUUGGUUGAUAAUAAUUAUUCUUCGUUGUGGCCGCAGCGAUUUUUAGUCAAUGUUAAUAACAUUGUACAUUUAAAGGGGAUAAGAUAAAAAUAAAUCAAUUGUGACCACACGGAAAUUAAAUUUACCGAAGGUAGCGUCAAUGCAGAUUGAUAUCAACCACGUGAUAAAUUGAUCUACAAUCGUGAUAAACGUUGCAACCUGACAGUAAUUAAAGACUAAGGAAUCAUUCAUUAAAUUUGAUGGGAAAAUAAAUACGUUUUGGUCACGUGAUCGAAUCAUACAAAGCAGGAGUGACCUGUAUUGCAGACGUUUAACUUUAUAGCGAUCGCCGUUUUAACUAAGUGUUUAUAAAUAGUGCAGUUGAUGGUUGAAACCAUGUAAUAUUUAAAUUAAAAGUGUUAUUUGUUGUUUUCUCAAUUAAAAAAGGCCUAUGUCUGUUUUGCACAGAAGAAAUGAGCACGAAACUUACAUGUACAUUGUAAUGUAAUCUCGCAUAAAGACAUCAGAACAUGUAACUUUGAAAAAAUUAACAAAAUUGUUCAAAUGUCUACCAGAAUUGUCACUCUUAAACUUUGUACAUUUUUUUCGAAAUUAAUUAUUGUUGAACGACUGUUUGUUGAUUAAUUAAAAGUUAAUGUAGUGC